GUGAUUAAAUCGAACGUGUCUUCAUUGACCGCUCACCCUUCUCACCAUCCACAUACACCUGUGCACUGUUUAGCCUGAGCCGGUUUUCCGGUCCAGGUUAUCAUUUCAUACAAACUCUAGUCUUAUGAAUGUAAACGUUUUAAUAACAUAAUA
rnacentral:misc_RNA from 1 species